UACGGAGGGUGCAAGCGUUAUCCGGAUUCACUGGGUUUAAAGGGUGCGUAGGUGGGUUGGUAAGUCAGUGGUGAAAUCUCUGAGCUUAACUUGGAAACUGCCAUUGAUACUAUCAGUCUUGAAUACCGUGGAGGUCAGCGGAAUAUGUCAUGUAGCGGUGAAAUGCUUAGAUAUGACAUAGAACACCAAUUGCGAAGGCAGCUGACUACGCGAAUAUUGACACUGAUGCACGAAAGCGUGGGGAUCAAACAGG
rnacentral:rRNA from 1 species